AUUACAACUCGUAACGGUGGAUGUCUCGGCUCCUACAUCGAUGAAGAACGUAGCAAACUGCGAAACGUAAUGCGAAUUGCAGAACUCGUGAAUCAUCAAAUUUUUGAACGCAAGUGGCGCUCGCGGGUAACCCUGCGAGCAUGUCUGUUUGAGUGUCCGUAC
rnacentral:rRNA from 1 species